CCUCGGACGGCCAUAAAAGCGUGUCUCCACCUCCAGUACCUGUAGAGUGUGAUGUGACCGCUGAGCCCACGCACCGUCAGCUCACUCCCGAUCCAGAUCCACUCGUUCCACUUCAGUCUGCGGCGACGACUUUCCUCCUCCCACGCAGAUCUCGUCGGCGCGAGCACCAGAUCAGCCGCAGCGCCGAAGAGCUCGAUCUGCUCUGCUUCAACUUCUUCAGCGUCGCGAACUGGAGGCGGAGAGCCGCUGCUCGGUGUUCGUUCAGGCUGCUCUUCUUCAACCUUCCGCCUCUGGCGUCGUCUCUCCUCCUCCCGGAUCCCGGUCGAGAUCUCAUCCACCGCCAGGUCGCACCCUGCUUCCUCAGGGUGCAGCCUUGUGGUCACGAGGUGAGGUCGCCGUCUUCGCGUCAACUGGAAUCACAUCUGGCGUCGACAAGCUUACUGUUUCCUCCGGCCUGAUCUGGCAUCGACAAGCAGUUUCCUCCGAUUUUCUUCACUGCAUCGAUCUGGACUCCCUCCGAGCACCUCCCGACUGCAAGGGCUGCUCGACCGGCAGAGCAGUCCAGCAGCCGCAGCGGACGACUGAACGUGUCGCACCCCACUGCACCAUACAACUAUAAUAAUUCUUCCACUUCAUGAGCCAUUGGACUAUUGGGAAAUAUGUUUAGAUAAUAAACAAGCCUUCAGAUGAGAAGGCAGAUCAUAAUAGGUGAGCAAUAAAUUUUUUUUUCUUUCAAACUAGCACCUUUUGUAACCCCACAACCCAUAGCAUUGAGCAAGCACAACCAAUCAUUGUUUGCUCUAUUUGAUUAUUACUAACCCAAAUACUAGCUAUAGUAAUGAUGGCUAAUGGUACACCUCCAGAUUUUUCAAAAUAGCUCUCGCUACUUACUCCAUUUUUCAUGCGGACAUAUGUUCUCGCUCUAAAAUAUUCGUAUAUAGAGAAUUAUUGGAGAGUCUUAUUUUAAAUAUGUUCAGUUCUAUUAAUUAUGUCAUCAUAGGAAGAGUGACAUUAUUUGUAGACACUAAUUUGCGUGUUAUUACGAUUAUCUGACUACAGAGAUUGAUUUUUGACACACCAUACUUAAUAAAUCUUCACAUGUUGUUUUGCAUGACGCGUGUUGUUUUUCUUCUCCGAUGAGGCCUGCCCUUCGCUCACAUCUCAAAAGUCCCGAGGAACAUGAAGAUCAGCGCACCAGCAGUCAGCAGCUCAAGUUCACCGACCCAGGAAAGAUAUAUAGGAACUAGUAGUAUAUCAUAGGGGCACCAGUGCAAAUCAAAAUAGUGUUUCUGGCUUUUGCUAUCAUGAUAUUGUGAUCAAGAACACGCUGUGUACUCCCCAUUCCGAUAUGGUUGAAUCGCUGGAGAGGGCAACUUUGUUUGUAGGUGCCAAUAUUCAUGUGUCUCUUUGCUGAGGGCCUGAGCAUGUCAUCUGUUGUCUUGGGGACAUGAGCCUCAUGGUAUUUCAGGAUACUUCCAUGAUGCCAAACAUCUCCGAAGUCAAUUCACAUGGCUUUGCUUCCUCCUCUCCUUUUACAUGUUGCUGCUGUACAUGUGCUCUUCAGCCUGUAACUAAAAGUGUUGAUGAUUUUGUUCACUUUGUGCUUGCAGUUUUC